AUUGAACGCUGGCGGCAUGCCUUACACAUGCCAGUCGAACGGCAGCACGGGUGCUUGCACCUGGUGGCGAGUGGCGAACGGGUGAGUAAUACAUCGGAACAUGUCCUGUAGUGGGGGAUAGCCCGGCGAAAGCCGGAUUAAUACCGCAUACGAUCCACGGAUGAAAGCGGGGGACCUUCGGGCCUCGCGCUAUAGGGUUGGCCGAUGGCUGAUUAGCUCGUUGGUGGGGUAAAGGCCUACCAAGGCGACGAUCAGUAGCUGGUCUGAGAGGACGACCAGCCACACGGGGACUGAGACACGGCCUAGACUACUACGGGAGGCAGCAGUGGGGAAUGUUGGACAAUGGGCGAAAGCCUGAUCCAGCAAUGCCGCGUGUGUGAAGAAGGCCUUCGGGUUGUAAAGCACGUUUGUGCGGAAAGAAACCCUUGGCUCUAAUACAGUCGGGGGAUGACGGUACCGGAAGAAGAAGCACCGGCUAACUACGUG
rnacentral:rRNA from 1 species